AGUGAACGCUGGCGGUAGGCCUAACACAUGCAAGUCGAACGGCAGCACAGUAAGAGCUUGCUCUUACGGGUGGCGAGUGGCGGACGGGUGAGGAAUACAUCGGAAUCUACUUUUUCGUGGGGGAUAACGUAGGGAAACUUACGCUAAUACCGCAUACGACCUACGGGUGAAAUCAGGGGAUCUUCUGACCUUGCGCGAUUGAAUGAGCCGAUGUCGGAUUAGCUAGUUGGCGGGGUAAAGGCCCACCAAGGCGACGAUCCGUAGCUGGUCUGAGAGGAUGAUCAGCCAAACUGGAACUGAGACACGGUCCAGACGCCUACGGGAGGCAGCAGUGGGGAAUAGUGGACAAUGGGCGCAAGCCUGAUCCAGCCAUACCGCGUGGGGGAAGAAGGCCUUCGGGUUGUAAAGCCCGUUUGGUGGGAAAGAAAAGCAGCAGGUUAAUACCCCGCUGUUCUGACGGUACCCAAAGAAUAAGCACCGGCUAACUUCGUG
rnacentral:rRNA from 1 species